AUUGAACGCUGGCGGCAGGCCUAACACAUGCAAGUCGAGCGGUAGAGAGGUGCUUGCAUCUCUUGAGAGCGGCGGACGGGUGAGUAAUGCCUAGGAAUCUGCCUAGUGGUGGGGGAUAACGUUCGGAAACGGACGCUAAUACCGCAUACGUCCUACGGGAGAAAGCGGGGGAUCUUCGGACCUCGCGCCAUUAGAUGAGCCUAGGUCGGAUUAGCUAGUUGGUGAGGUAAUGGCUCACCAAGGCGACGAUCCGUAACUGGUCUGAGAGGAUGAUCAGUCACACUGGAACUGAGACACGGUCCAGACUCCUACGGGAGGCAGCAGUGGGGAAUAUUGGACAAUGGGCGAAAGCCUGAUCCAGCCAUGCCGCGUGUGUGAAGAAGGUCUUCGGAUUGUAAAGCACUUUAAGUUGGGAGGAAGGGUAGGUAACCUAAUACGUUGUCUACUUUGACGUUACCGACAGAAUAAGCACCGGCUAACUUCGUG
rnacentral:rRNA from 1 species